rnacentral:rRNA from 1 species
CGGCGGACGGGUGAGUAACACGUGGGUAACCUGCCCAUAAGACUGGGAUAACUCCGGGAAACCGGGGCUAAUACCGGAUAAUAUUUUGAACUGCAUGGUUCGAAAUUGAAAGGCGGCUUCGGCUGUCACUUAUGGAUGGACCCGCGUCGCAUUAGCUAGUUGGUGAGGUAACGGCUCACCAAGGCAACGAUGCGUAGCCGACCUGAGAGGGUGAUCGGCCACACUGGGACUGAGACACGGCCCAGACUCCUACGGGAGGCAGCAGUAGGGAAUCUUCCGCAAUGGACGAAAGUCUGACGGAGCAACGCCGCGUGAGUGAUGAAGGCUUUCGGGUCGUAAAACUCUGUUGUUAGGGAAGAACAAGUGCUAGUUGAAUAAGCUGGCACCUUGACGGUACCUAACCAGAAAGCCACGGCUAACUACGUGCCAGCAGCCGCGGUAAUACGUAGGUGGCAAGCGUUAUCCGGAAUUAUUGGGCGUAAAGCGCGCGCAGGUGGUUUCUUAAGUCUGAUGUGAAAGCCCACGGCUCAACCGUGGAGGGUCAUUGGAAACUGGGAGACUUGAGUGCAGAAGAGGAAAGUGGAAUUCCAUGUGUAGC